rnacentral:rRNA from 1 species
UACGUAGGGGGCAAGCGUUGUCCGGAAUCAUUGGGCGUGAAGAGCGUGUAGGCGGCCAGAUAAGUCCGCUGUGAAAUCUCGAGGCUCAACUUCGAGCUGUCGGUGGAAACUGUCUGGCUAGAGUCCGGAAGAGGAGAAUGGAAUUCCUGGUGUAGCGGUGAAAUGCGCAGAUAUCAGGAAGAACACCCGUGGCGAAGGCGGUUCUCUGGGACGGUACUGACGCUGAGGAGCGAAAGCGUGGGGAGCGAACAGG